CUGAGCCCCGCAGGCGGCGGGAGCUGGAGAAGAGCCGGUUUGUGUCUCCGGUAGGAGAGGCCCCGGAGGCCAGGUGCUGUUCAGCCAGGGCGGUGCCUAGACAGGGCCACGGAAAGACAGAGGGACAGUGCAUCCACUGGCGCAGCAAUAGGCCGGCCAGUGGCUGGAUUUUCAGCAGAGUUGUCUGUGGAAAGCUGACUUGAAAGACAUCGAAAUCGGAUAGGUAAUUAAUUCACAUGCACCUACAAGAGAAGAAAGAACGCACAAAUUAUUGGUAACAUUUUAAUAGGAAUUUUGCCCUUUCUGGCCUCUCGGGAAGCAAGAACCAGUGUAUCUAAUUAUCUGAACACAUAAGAACACGAACGAACAGCAAGCACUGAAAUUAUAAGCCGGCCGGAACAACUCCAUGUUCUCUGAUUAAACUCUCUUUCUGAGCCCUUAGCAAUCAUGUCGGCCCCGUGUUCGUCGUAAUUGCAUGUGUCAAAGCCGAGGCUUUGUGUAAAUGGGACUGAACGAGUCACAAUUUUAAUUUAGAAGGGAGAUAACGGUACGCAGCUCCCACAACGGCUGGCCUGGGGAAUGUGGCAGGAGCCUGGAGGGCAGAGGCCCCGGGCGGCAGGUUAAUGGCGCACAGGGGCCUCGUCAGGCCACAUCGCAACUGUGGGAUUUCUAAAACAGAGAAAUGCAAUUUACCAACCCGAAGUCAACCACCUGCUCUCUCCCUGAUUACUCAUGUAAAGGAGGCUGUCGAAUUUUUUCAUAGCUCAAGGGCAAUGAAUUUCAACAGUGGAUACUCUGUUGAUCAUCGAGACGGCGACAUGCUUCAAUGAGAUCUUUCUGAUGUACUUGAAUCUUAGAAACAAAACAAAAUCCUGUUUUUUAACUUUUAAAACGCUCCCCAAAGCCAGGCAAGUAGCCACUUCUAUUUUUCCCCCCUCAAGGCACCUCAGCGUUUUGGUUUUC